rnacentral:rRNA from 1 species
GUAGGGAAUCUUCCGCAAUGGGCGAAAGCCUGACGGAGCAAUGCCGCGUGAGUGAUGAAGGUUUUCGGAUCGUAAAGCUCUGUUGCCAGGGAAGAACGCUUGGGAGAGUAACUGCUCUCAAGGUGACGGUACCUGAGAAGAAAGCCCCGGCUAACUACGUGCCAGCAGCCGCGGUAAUACGUAGGGGGCAAGCGUUGUCCGGAAUUAUUGGGCGUAAAGCGCGCGCAGGCGGUCAUUUAAGUCUGGUGUUUAAUCCCGGGGCUCAACCCCGGAUCGCACUGGAAACUGGGUGACUUGAGUGCAGAAGAGGAGAGUGGAAUUCCACGUGUAGCGGUGAAAUGCGUAGAUAUGUGGAGGAACACCAGUGGCGAAGGCGACUCUCUGGGCUGUAACUGACGCUGAGGCGCGAAAGCGUGGGGAGCAAACAGGAUUAGAUACCCUGGUAGUCCACGCCGUAAACGAUGAGUGCUAGGUGUUAGGGGUUUCGAUACCCUUGGUGCCGAAGUUAACACA